rnacentral:rRNA from 1 species
UAGGGAAUCUUCCACAAUGGACGCAAGUCUGAUGGAGCAACGCCGCGUGAGUGAAGAAGGUCUUCGGAUCGUAAAGCUCUGUUGUUGGUGAAGAAGGAUAGAGGCAGUAACUGGUCUUUAUUUGACGGUAAUCAACCAGAAAGUCACGGCUAACUACGUGCCAGCAGCCGCGGUAAUACGUAGGUGGCAAGCGUUGUCCGGAUUUAUUGGGCGUAAAGCGAGCGCAGGCGGAAUGAUAAGUCUGAUGUGAAAGCCCACGGCUCAACCGUGGAACUGCAUCGGAAACUGUCAUUCUUGAGUGCAGAAGAGGAGAGUGGAACUCCAUGUGUAGCGGUGGAAUGCGUAGAUAUAUGGAAGAACACCAGUGGCGAAGGCGGCUCUCUGGUCUGCAACUGACGCUGAGGCUCGAAAGCAUGGGUAGCGAACAGGAUUAGAUACCUGGUAGUCCAUGCCGUAAACGAUGAGCGCUAGGUGUUGGGGACUUUCCGGUCCUCAGUGCCGCAGCAAACGCAUUAAGCGCUCCGCCUGGGGAGUACGACCGCAAGGUUG